AGUGAACGCUGGCGGUAGGCCUAACACAUGCAAGUCGAACGGCAGCACAGUAAGAGCUUGCUCUUACGGGUGGCGAGUGGCGGACGGGUGAGGAAUACAUCGGAAUCUACUUUUUCGUGGGGGAUAACGUAGGGAAACUUACGCUAAUACCGCAUACGACCUACGGGUGAAAGCAGGGGAUCUUCGGACCUUGCGCGAUUGAAUGAGCCGAUGUCGGAUUAGCUAGUUGGCGGGGUAAAGGCCCACCAAGGCGACGAUCCGUAGCUGGUCUGAGAGGAUGAUCGGCCAACCUGGAACUGAAACCCGGCCCAGCAUCCUACGGGGGGCAGGAGGGGGGAAUUUUGGAAAAGGGGCGAAAGCCUGAACCAGCCAAACCGGGGGGGUGAAGAAGGCCUUCGGGUUGUAAAGCCCUUUUUUUGGGAAAAAAAAGCAGCAGGUUAAACCCCCGGUGUUUUGACGGUACCAAAAGAAAAAGCCCCGGCAAACUUCGU
rnacentral:rRNA from 1 species